CAGCUCUACAUAUGUGGCUGCAGAGAGUGAGACAGAGCAGUGGACUCACAGUUUACCAAGAUGAGCUACAGCGUUGGACUGCUGCUUUUAACUCUCUGCUGGGCCGGUGUUGAAGCCCAGACUCUGAUACAAUCUGGAUCAGCAGUUAAAAGACCUGGAGAAUCUCACAGACUCACCUGUACAGCCUCUGGAGUCACAAUCAGUGGUUUUACUAUGCACUGGAUCAGACAGACUCCUGGAAAAGGACUGGAGUGGAUCUCUUAUAUUAGCAGCGGUGGCAGCACUCAAUACUCUCAGUCAGUUCAAGGUCGAUUUACCAGCUCCAGAAACAACAACGUCCUGCAGGUGUAUCUGCAGAUGAACAGUUUGAAGACUGAAGAUUCUGCUGUUUAUUAUUGUGCUCGAGAGACACAGUGACUGAAGUUGUGUUAGCAGCUGUACAAAAACCUGCAGUAGUCGUCUCUUUGAGUGAUACAGCUCAUGUAUGAAGGAUUCUUUCUAUAUUUUUUAUUCUUUAUUAUAUAAAUAUGAUGCAUUUUACACUGAUAUUUAAAAAAACAUUCAUAUUUCACUUUACACAGCUUUUUUAAAAUAUGUAUGUGUUUGCAGACAAGUUCUUUAGAAAAAGGUAAAUGAUAUUUUAUUUGAAUCAUUAAACCUAUUAAUAAACAAUGUACAAGACCAACAACUGGUCCAUAAAGAAGUCUGAAAACAGACUCUGUUUGCUGACAGUAAACACAUUUCUACUGACUGAUGACAAUAUUGUCUAUAAUAUAUCUGCUGUCUACAUUAGAUCAUAACAUGUGAGUGAAAAGAAUGUUGACCUUGAUGUUGUUUGGAUGGAGCUAAAUGUAAAAAGAUUUUUCAUGACUGAAGAAAAUGUAUUGAUGUAUUAAUCAAACCACCGGUGUGUUUUAUUUAAGAAACAAAGACAAAUGUUGUGUUCAUAUUAACAUACUACCAAAUAAUAAGAAUAAUACAAAAAGAGAAAUAUUACAAAUAGACAUUUAAUUUGAACAAUAUGUCAGAAAUAAAUAAAUAAUUUAAUUUCUAAGACAACCACACACUGAUUAAUGUGAAAUAUGUUGCUUCAUAUCAGCUAAUACAUGUUUUUCUGGGAUUUGUUGCACAUUCAGUUCACAAGCUGCAGUUCUUCUCUGCAA